UUCCAUUGUCUUUUUGUUCACCUUUUUUUGGUCCUGAUGAUCUCAAUUACCGUAAAAAAUACAAGUCGUAUAUAUAGGUGCUAUUUUAUUUUCUUUUUGUUGUGACAGUCAAUGAACUUUGACACAAUGCAAAAAGAAGAAUAAUACUAUCACAAUCAAUUUAAGGACAACGAAACAUACAAGGAAUAUUAAAACAACAAAUAACAGUUAAAGAAUAUGUACAUAUUGUAUGUAGAUGUUUCAUAUAUUCCUAAGACAUUUUAGAUUCUUCUGCAAUAUAAAUGAAUUAUCUUUUGAAGCAGAGAACAGUAUUUGGCAAUGUACUCCCAAAAUGAGAAGCAACCUGUGAUCUCAAUUCAAGAGCACUUAAGCUGUAAGUAAUCCAGUAGGUCAGGCUUCAUAUUUCAAUCUUACAACCCCUAAUGAAGCAGUGGCAUCCAACAGGUAAUGCAACUCACCCUAUUAUUGAAAACUAUAAGAUAUAAACCCAUAAUGUUCAUCUAAUAAGUAUCAUAAUUUACUGUAUCAAAGUACAGAUCAACUGAAAAUGUGCAGAUUAAUAAUUUCUUUUUUAUAUUAAUCAAUCUUCUCUUUUUUCCAUUGCUCUACUUGCCUUUAUAUCUCUUCAUCAAUAGUAUUAAGUACUUGUCCUGAGCUAAUAGUCAUACUCGUUAUAUUUGAAAAUAAGUCAAGAGGCAUUAAAAAUAUAUUGACUUGCUUUGGCUUCUAGCAAAUAGUAAUCAGGUUCACAAUAAUCUCUAAUUACAUAGGAGUAUACAGAAGAAAAGUGAAAUAUAACAGUUAAGUAAAGGAUACAAACAAUAAGCAUUGAACAAAGAAAAUUUACAUUUUUAUUGUCACAAGCAAUCAUAUCUCCAAUAGAUACCUGAAGGAUAAAUUAGCAACUUCACAAGGGAGCAAGAGCAAGACAAGUUAUUGCAAUGAUAUGAUGAUCUAUAAUCAAGCAUCAAUGGUUUAGAACAUAAAAGUAAAGUAAGAUAUCAAUAUUUUAAGUCAUUAAUAGUCAUAUCAUUUAAGGAGUAUUAUAUAAAUUGAGAACACAUCGAUCAUAUAGCCGGCAGAAGGAUACAUAACAAAAGCCAACAAAAUCACUUUAACAGUAUUGAUUUAAUGAAAAGACAUGUGCGAAAGAAGAGAAGACAAUAAAUUAUGUUCUGUUUUCUGUAAAAGCUUUUGUUCAACGCAAAAAAGAGACAAAAAAAUAUAACAUUACUCCACUAAAAUCCAAAGACGGUUAAAACUCAUGGACCACUCAUUAUACUGAGAACUUGUAAAAUAAUAGAAAGAAAAUUUGAAUUUAUCAAUCACGCUUUCUUUUUUCAGUAUGCUCUUGGGCAAAAGAUAUUUAUGCAUAUACGGAAUAUAGCUUUAUCUUUGAUAAUGCUGCAUCAAUAGUCCCAGAUAUGUCCCUACUACUACUACUACUAUCAAAAUCAACUUAAAUCACCUUACAGGAAAUAGAUCAAACUCUAUAAUUGACAUCCAUAAUUUAUAAUUUUAUACUCACCUGGGCAUAUAGACAUUAGAAGUAAGAUUGGAUCUUCCACCGCACCAUAUUUCCGAACCCAAUUGAAGUAAGUUGUUGAUGUUUUACAUAUAUUGACUAAUUUCUAUCAAAGAGCUGAAGACAAAAUAGUAAAUUGAAACUCAAAAUAAACACAAGAAGUGAAGAACAGAAGGAUGGUAAACAUUUGCCUGUUGUCGUAGGUCGUAGGAAUGUAUUCAAUCUGAAAUCACCCUAAUCUGCCUUUGAAUUUUGAUAACCAAAUCUUCCAUUAUCCUGCCGCAAACGAUUCGCCCUAUGAGGCUGAAAUCUUCAACUAACAAAAAAAAAAAAUCAACUAUUCGUGGUAAUUUAGAAUAGAGGAGAAGGCUCUGAAAGGGCGUUGUAUAGAAGGGCGAAAGGCAUCUGCGACAGGAGCGAGAGAGUUGAAUAGCAAAGGCGUUGAAAGCAAUUUCAGUUACAAAAAGGAUUGAAGAGAAGAACGCGACGUUUGAGUUUUUUCUUUUUUCAUAAAAGAACAUAAAUAGGAGAAAAUAGGGGAAAACGUAAAUAAACAGGGAAAAGAAAAAAUAUCAAUCCUCUUCUCUUCUGUGGAAGAUCCCACGGCAGCUAUACUAUUCCCUCAAUUAUAUAGAUACUAGGUAAUUUGCCCGCGCUUUCCGCGU
rnacentral:lncRNA from 1 species